rnacentral:tRNA from 1 species
AGCGGGUUAGUGUAAUGGGAACACAUGAGUCUCCUUAGCUCAAACUGGCGGUUCGAUUCCGUCACCCGCAACCA